rnacentral:sRNA from 1 species
GGGCUCACAGGGUUGAUGAGGUGGCUUUACCUGCAGCUAUGCCCAGCUGGUCCUGUCCCUAGUGCAAGGCCCCGGUGACCCCUCCCCACUCAUGUCCAUGCUGCAUGGCUUGGGGCUGAGCGAGGAGGAGCAGGCACCCGGCACACAGCCCUUGUGUCAUCUCUGCUAAAGGUUUUUUUUGCUUGCGGGAGAUAACAUGGUGUUGUUUGAACCCUCCCAGAAACGCUGCAGCAGUGCUGUGACCUUUCGCAGCUGUGGUUCCGAGAGUUCUUCCUGGAGCUGACCAUGGGCAGGAGGAUCCAGUUCCCCAUUGAGAUGUCGAUGCCCUGGAUCCUGACGGACCACAUCCUGGAGACCAAGGAGGCAUCGAUGAUGGAGUACGUGCUCUACUCCCUGGACCUGUACAAUGACAGCGCCCACUACGCGCUCACCAGGUUCAACAAACAGUUCCUCUACGACGAAAUUGAGGCCGAGGUGAAUCUAUGUUUUGACCAAUUUGUGUACAAGCUAGCAGACCAGAUAUUUGCCUAUUAUAAGGUUAUGGCAGGAAGUUUGCUUCUUGAUAAACGGUUACGAUCAGAAUGCAAGAAUCAGGGAGCCACGAUCCACCUCCCGCCGUCUAACCGCUACGAGACGCUGCUGAAGCAGAGGCACGUGCAGCUCCUCGGCAGGUCAAUAGACCUCAAUCGUCUGAUCACCCAGCGCGUCUCAGCAGCCAUGUAUAAGUCCCUGGAACUGGCGAUUGGACGAUUUGAAAGUGAAGAUUUGACCUCCAUAGUUGAGCUGGAUGGCCUGUUGGAAAUCAACCGCAUGACCCACAAGCUGCUGAGCCGGUACCUGACGCUGGACAGCUUCGAUGCCAUGUUCCGGGAGGCCAACCACAACGUGUCAGCGCCCUACGGGAGGAUCACCCUGCACGUCUUCUGGG